GAGUUUGAUCGUGGCUCAGGAUGAACGCUGGCGGCGUGCCUAAUACAUGCAAGUCGAGCGAACGGACGAGAAGCUUGCUUCUCUGAUGUUAGCGGCGGACGGGUGAGUAACACGUGGAUAACCUACCUAUAAGACUGGGAUAACUUCGGGAAACCGGAGCUAAUACCGGAUAAUAUUUUGAACCGCAUGGUUCAAAAGUGAAAGACGGUCUUGCUGUUACUUAUAGAUGGAUCCGCGCUGCAUUAGCUAGUUGGUAAGGUAACGGCUUACCAAGGCAACGAUGCAUAGCCGACCUGAGAGGGUGAUCGGCCACACUGGAACUGAGACACGGUCCAGACUCCUACGGGAGGCAGCAGUAGGGAAUCUUCCGCAAUGGGCGAAAGCCUGACGGAGCAACGCCGCGUGAGUGAUGAAGGUCUUCGGAUCGUAAAACUCUGUUAUUAGGGAAGAACAUAUGUGUAAGUAACUGUGCACAUCUUGACGGUACCUAAUCAGAAGGCCACGGCUAACUACGUGGA
rnacentral:rRNA from 1 species